rnacentral:rRNA from 1 species
UGCCAGCCGCCGCGGUAAUACGUAUGGUGCAAGCGUUAUCCGGAAUUAUUGGGCGUAAAGCGUCCGUAGGCGGUAAAAUCAGUCUGUGGUUAAGUCCCGGGGCUCAACUCCGGAAUCGUCAUAGAAACUGUUUUACUAGAGAAGUGUAGGGGCAGAUGGAAUUCCAGAAGUAGGGGUAAAAUCCGUAGAUCUCUGGAGGAACACCAAACGCGAAGGCAUUCUGCUGGGCACUUUCUGACGCUGAGGGACGAAAGCGUGGGUAGCGAACAGGAUUAGAUA